CUUAUCAAGAGUGGCGGAGGGAAUAGGCCCUGUGAUGCCCGGCAACCUUAAGGCCUAUGUUUAGAAAGAUAUUUUAAUCUAAUCUAAAGAACACAACCUUAAAGGUGCUAAUUCCUACAGAGCAUUGCUUUGAAAGAUGAGG
rnacentral:ncRNA from 1 species